ensembl:lncRNA
GGCGCGGGCUCCUGAGGGGCGAGCGGGCCCCUCCGUGCGCCCCGAGAGGGGAUUAAAAGGGCGCUUCAGCUCAGGGGGAUGGUUCAAGCCUUUUCUUGACUUUGCAGAGAGAGAAGUAGCUGAGAGGUGGGUCCCGGUUGGUCGGAGAGGAUGGAGCUGCUUUUCCCACUGCCAGUGCUGUGGAAGGACAGGAGAGAACAGGAGAUGCUGUGGAGGCAGCAGUGCAGUGAGCUGAUCCCAAACCCUUUCCUGUGGAAAGAAAUGAAGGUUUGUACAAAGGGAAAAAAUGGAGAUGAAACAAAUUUCAGGAAGCUUGAUGCAUGGGAAUGGACAUCUAUCUAG